rnacentral:rRNA from 1 species
UACGUAGGGUGCAGGCGUUGUCCGGAAUUAUUGGGCGUAAAGAGCUUGUAGGCGGUUUGUCGCGUCUGCUGUGAAAUUUCGGGGCUCAACCCCGAACUUGCAGUGGGUACGGGCAGACUAGAGUGUGGUAGGGGAGACUGGAAUUCCUGGUGUAGCGGUGAAAUGCGCAGAUAUCAGGAGGAACACCGAUGGCGAAGGCAGGUCUCUGGGCCACUACUGACGCUGAGAAGCGAAAGCAUGGGGAGCGAACAGG